rnacentral:rRNA from 1 species
GACGAACGCUGGCGGCGUGCUUAACACAUGCAAGUCGAACGGAAAGGCCCUGCUUUUGUGGGGUGCUCGAGUGGCGAACGGGUGAGUAACACGUGAGUAACCUGCCCUUGACUUUGGGAUAACUUCAGGAAACUGGGGCUAAUACCGGAUAGGAGCUCCUGCUGCAUGGUGGGGGUUGGAAAGUUUCGGCGGUUGGGGAUGGACUCGCGGCUUAUCAGCUUGUCGGUGGGGUAGUGGCUUACCAAGGCUUUGACGGGUAGCCGGCCUGAGAGGGUGACCGGCCACAUUGGGACUGAGAUACGGCCCAGACUCCUACGGGGGGCAGCAGUGGGGAAUAUUGCACAAUGGGCGGAAGCCUGAUGCAGCAACGCCGCGUGCGGGAUGACGGCCUUCGGGUUGUAAACCGCUUUCGCCUGUGACGAAGCGUGAGUGACGGUAAUGGGUAAAGAAGCACCGGCUAACUACGUG